AGUGAACGCUGGCGGCGUGCUUAACACAUGCAAGUCGAACGAGAAACGGAUUUAGCUUGCUAAAUUGCAGUCUAAGUGGCGCACGGGUGAGUAAUGUAUAGAUAAUAUGCCUUUUACUAAGGGAUAACAGUUGGAAACGGCUGCUAAUACCUUAUAUGCCUUUAAUACAUAAGUAUGCAAGGGAAAGAUUUAUUGGUAAAAGAUUAGUCUGUAUUGUAUCAGUUAGUUAGUGAGGUAAUGGCUACCCAAGACUAUGCCGCAUAACUGGGUUGAGAGGAUGGUCAGUCACACUGGAACUGGGACACGGUCCAGACUCCUACGGGAGGCAGCAGUGCGGAAUAUUGCACAAUGGGGGAAACCCUGAUGCAGCAACGCCGCGUGGAGGAUGACACAUUUCGGUGCGUAAACUCCUUUUAUAUAGGAAGAUAAUGACGGUACUAUAUGAAUAAGCACCGGCUAACUCCGUGCCAGCCGCCGCGGUAA
rnacentral:rRNA from 1 species